rnacentral:rRNA from 1 species
GUCCAUGCCGUAAACGGUGGGCGCUAGGUGUAGGGGACUUCCACGUCUUCUGUGCCGCAGCUAACGCAUUAAGCGCCCCGCCUGGGGAGUACGGCCGCAAGGCUAAACUCAAAGGAAUUGACGGGGGCCCGCACAAGCGGCGGAGCAUGUGGUUUAAUUCGAAGCAACGCGAAGAACCUUACCUGGAUUUGACAUCCUCGGACAACCCUAGAGAUAGGGCUUUGGUAGCAAUACCACCGGGAGACAGGUGCUGCAUGGCUGUCGU